rnacentral:rRNA from 1 species
GACGAACGCUGGCGGCGUGCUUAACACAUGCAAGUCGAACGGAAAGGCCCUGCUUUUGUGGGGUGCUCGAGUGGCGAACGGGUGAGUAACACGUGAGUAACCUGCCCUUGACUUUGGGAUAACUUCAGGAAACUGGGGCUAAUACCGGAUAGGAGCUACUGCUGCAUGGUGGGGGUUGGAAAGUUUCGGCGGUUGGGGAUGGACUCGCGGCUUAUCAGCUUGUUGGUGGGGUAGGGGCUUACCAAGGCUUUGACGGGUAGCCGGCCUGGGAGGGUGACCGGCCCCAUUGGGACUGGGGUACGGCCCAGACUCCUACGGGCGGCAGCAGUGGGGAAUAUUGCACAAUGGGCCGAAGCCUGAUGCAGCAACUCCGCGUGCGGGAUGACGGCCUUCGGGUUGUAAACCGCUUUCGCCUGUGACGAAGCGUGAGUGACGGUAAUGGGUAAAGAAGCACCGGCUAACUACGG